CCCCAGUAGAAUUGGUCAGACAUUGCUCAUGUUUCGGUCCUGACUGUCUCCACGAGGGGCUGUCCUUGUGAGCCCUUGCUCCUCUGGGACCAUCUUCACUAACCUGACCUCUCUCAGUCAUGAUUGCUUUCAGCUCUAAGACUGUGGAGUCCCAGGACCCAUCUCUGCCCUCUCUGUCUCCAGGAGAGGAAGAAAAUAACAGGGAUCUUCAUGGAGAAAUGACCCACUUAAGGGUCUGGACUCUCCAGCAGUUACAAGCAGAAGAAACUCCCUGAGGAAGAAUGGAGGAGCUGAAUGCCCAGACUGGGAAGUUUUCUGAAAGGCAGCAAGCCUGAGCUGAGUCCACACCCUGAAAGCCCAGAAGCAAGGGAUCAGAUGGAAGAAAUAAAGCAGGUUUUGGAAAAGAGAAUAACCUGCAAAGACAAGUCAAUGCUAGAACAGGUGAAAACUGAAGAAGGGGGGAAUAAGGACAAACUGGGCCAGAAGCCUCAGGGGAAAUGGGCAAUGGGCCUAUGAUCAUUCAAGCACUCUAGGAGCAGUGCAAGCUGAACGGUGGGGACCGAGAGAGAAGCUUGCUCCACAGGAGUCUCCUGACUCUGGCCAGGGAGAGCCACAGGGAGGAUCAGAGCUGGUUUAUAGUGAGGGGGCAGCACCAACUCCAAGAGGGGGAGGAUGCGACCGUGAGCCCCCACCCCAGACCUCAGAGCCUUGACCUUUGGGCUGCCAUAGCAGUGGAUGCUCUUCAGGUUCAUGUGGGUUAGAG
rnacentral:lncRNA from 1 species